UAAUGAUUUAAUAAUAGAUCCUAUAUUAUAGAUUAAUAAAUUAAAUUACCUUAGGGAUAACAGCGUAAUUUUUUUUUAAAGUUCAUAUUAAUAAAUUAGAUUACGACCUCGAUGUUGGAUUAAGAUAUAUAAUUAGGUGCAAAAGUUUAAUUAUAAGGUCUGUUCGACC
rnacentral:rRNA from 1 species